CAGAAAUGGGAGUCGACACCGGUAGUCGACAGGCAAGGAGUCGAGGAACCCACCACAGUUUCGCGAAAUGUACACAAACAACUUUGAAAAGAUCUGACUGCUAAGUGGUAGUCCCUGUUCUCCUGCAUUCUUGUUUUACUUUUGAAUCUUCUAGCUUGGAUGAUAGGAUGGAGAAGGGAACAAAGGCAAGGAGCACAGAAGUUAUCCAGCCUUUUGAUUAAGAAGUUUCCUGAAACAUGUAGAUGACAUGAUGCAUGGCCUCUACAGCAGUGCUUGGCCACCCAUUCAUUUUCCAGUGAUCUUUUCUGCCACAUCCCAGGACCUGAGCCCUAGGACCAUGCCUCAGGACUACCUGGUAUGAUGACUCCUUGCUGUCCCCAGUCCACCUGGCCGUGCUGCUGCUCCAG
rnacentral:lncRNA from 1 species